CAGAGGGGGCAAGCGUUAUUCGGAAUUAUUGGGCGUAAAGGGCGCGUAGGCGGCUUUUCAAGUGGCGGGUGAAAGCCCUCGGCUUAACCGAGGAACUGCCUGCCAGACUGGAUCGCUUGAGACCGGGAGAGGUGAGUGGAAUUCCCAGUGUAGCGGUGAAAUGCGUAGAUAUUGGGAGGAACACCAGUGGCGAAGGCGGCUCACUGGACCGGUACUGACGCUGAGGCGCGAAAGCGUGGGGAGCAAACAGGAUUAGAUACCCUGGUAGUCCACGCCGUAAACGAUGAGUGCUUGGUGUAGCGGGUAUCGACCCCUGCUGUGCCGACGUCAACACAUUAAGCACUCCGCCUGGGGAGUACGGUCGCAAGACUG
rnacentral:rRNA from 1 species